AUGCCCGGCCAGAAAUGUUUUUUUUUAAGAAGGCUGUCUACUAGUGGAGUUCCUGGCCUGAGAGGAUAUUACUUUCCAAGGAAAGGAUUUCUUUCAUUAUUUAAGGAGCCACUUAAGCUAAAGAUUCCCUUGAGAACAAGUACUGUCCUGUGGUUUCAUGGCCUUUCUUCCAUUUGUGGUUCUUGCCAAGUGGUAUUUCAAUGACCUCUUAUCAAGAUGGAUAAACCCAAGUUUCCCAGUGCUGGAAUAGAGAAAAUGGAUGGACAAGUAAGUCCCACUCAGCACCCAUAGCCCAGGCAUGGGGACCUCAACACACCUGAGCCCCAGACGUCACCUUUCAUUGUGAGUAGCUCUGAGAUGACACUUCUGGUUGGUAAAUGCCUACUGGCAAUAGUUUAUGUAACGGCAAGUGAAGGAAUAAAUAGUCACCAAAACGUUUUCUGUCCCCAACUCCAGCAUUAAUUGGAUUAGAUAGUUAUUUUAUGAAAAAUUUUCCUAUGCCGCAGUCCUGACCAUAUCUUCAAGUGAACAGAAAAAUUCUAUUAAAAAGUGAACCUUCUGUCUCACUCUGUUGCCCAGACUGGACUGCAGUAGUGCAAUUAUGGCUCACUGCAGCCUCAACCUCCUGGGUUCAAGCAGUCCUCCUGCCUCAACCUCACAGGUAGCUGGGACUACAGGUGCUUGUCACCGCACCUCACUAAUUUUCCCAUUUUUUAAAUAUUUGGAUUCCACAGGACUGACUUCAAAAACUUGAGUACGCAUGGAUUUUGGUAUACACAGAAAUGGGGUAGCUGGAACUAAUUCCCCCAUAUACCAAGGGACAAAUUGUAUCUGUUUUUACAAUUAUAGUGUAGGAUACAUUAUGUUCCAUGACAAUGGUAAUUUUUAAUGACAAUUUUUAAUUGAGUGAAAUUACCAUAAAAAUAAUAAUUUGCUGAGCUGUUACUAGGUGCCUAUAAGUACCACAGAUUUUUUAAAUUCCCCAUAUCUCUUCCUUAUUUCACUUAACCACUCUAUCUUAAAUUACUCAUGCUUGCUUCAGUGGCACAUGUACUUAAGUUGGAACAAUAGGCCUCUGUGAAAGAAUGACAUGCAAAUUUGUGAAGCAUUCCAUAUUUUUUAAAAAAUGAGAAAAAAAAUUACUCCCAGAUUUUCACUGUGUUUGUGCAUAUCACCUUUCGUUUAGGUUGAAUUAUAUCCAAAGAUGAUAUUUCCGGAAGUGAGAUUACUGUGAGUGACAGGGUAUGAGCAUUCUUAUUACCCUUGAUGUAAAUUGCCAAGCUUUCAGGCAUGGUGGCUGUCAGCCUAUAAUUCCAGCACUUUGGGAGGCUGAGGUGGGAGGAUUGCUUGAGGCCAGGAGUUGGAGGAGGCAGUAUAAUGAGUAACUGUCUGUAUUAUUUUAAAAAAAUGUCCAGGCCGGGCGCGGUGGCUCAAGCCUGUAAUCCCAGCACUUUGGGAGGCCGAGACGGGUGGAUCAUGAGGUCAGGAGAUCGAGACCAUCCUGGCUAACACGGUGAAACCCCGUCUCUACUAAAAAUACAAGAAAAAUUAGCCGGGCGCGGUGGCAGGCGCCUGUAGUCCCAGCUACUCGGGAGGCUGAGGCAGGAGAAUGGCGUGAACCCGGGGGAGCGGAGCUUGCAGUGAGCCGAGAUCGCACCACUGCACUCCAGCCUGGGGCACAGAGCAAGACUCCGCGUCAAAAAAAAAAAAAAAAAAAAAAAAUGUCCAAGCUUUAUCCUGGAAGGUUUAUAUACAAUGUAAACACCACUGAUAGUACAAGAAAAUGGCCAUUUCACUGCACUUUCACUGGCACAGGUAUUAUAAUUUAACAAGUUACUUUCUGUGUGAUAAAUAAAAGAAUUCAUAUUACUUUGUCACCUUUUUUUUUUUUUUUUUUUUUUUGAGACACAGUCUCGCUCUGUCACCCAGGCUCUAGUGUAGUGGUAUGAUCUUGGUUCACUGCAACCUCUGCCUCCCAGGUUCAAGCAAUUCUGCCUCAGCCUCCUGAGUAGCUGAGAUUACAGGCACACACCACCAUGCUUGGCUAAUUUUUGUAUUUUUAGUAGAGAUGGGGUUUCACCGUAUUGAUCAGGCUGGUCGCAAACUCCUGACCUCGUGAUCUACCCGCCUCGACCUCCCAAAGUGCUGGAUUACAGGCGUGAGCCACGUACCCGGCCUAUUUGUCACACGUUUUAUCUUUCCUUGUGUUAGCUUCUUAGCUUUAUUUCUUUAUUGUCCUUUUUUUUUUUUUUUUUCUUUUUUUGAGAUGAAGUCUCGCUCUGUCUCCCAGGCUUGAGUGUAGUGGCACAGUCUCAACUCACUGCAGUCUUGACCUCCUGAUCUCAGGUGAUCCUUCCACCUCAGUACUUGGGUUUAUGGGCACAUGCCACUAUGCCUGGCCAGUUUUUUUUUAAUUUUUAGUAGAGACGAGGUCUUGCUUUGUUUCUUAGGCUGGUCUGGGACUCCUGGCCUCAAGCGAUCCCCCCACCACCCCCUCCCAAAAUACUAGUAUUAUAAGCGUGAGCCACCAUGCCUGAGCUGUCCAUGUCUUUUCCAUUUAUUUAUGGAAUUAAUUUGUCUUUUACUAAUGCGAUGAUCUGUUUAAUCUUUUAUUAAAUUAUAAAAAUAGUAAAUACUUUUAAAUAAAUAAGUGAAAAAUUUCCUUCAGUCUUUAGACCCAUAAUCUUAUCUCAGGAAAUAAUUGCUAUUGAGAAAAUGGGCCAUAUCCUUCAAGACACAUACAUGGUGAUUGAACAUCACUUCACAUUUUCAUAUUUCGUGGACAUUUGUGCCAAUACCUAUUGAUCUAUCUUAAUCCUUUUCAUGGUUGCAUAAUAUUUUGUUAUAUAGAUGUAUCACAGUUUACUCAUCAGCUGCUGUAGGCAUUUAGGCUCCUUCUAAUAUUUGCUUUGAGUUCUUUAUAUAAUUAAAAAUUAACCCCCUCAGCCAGGUGUGAGGUCACACCUCUGUGGUGUUACAGGCAGGUCACACCUGUAAUCCCAGCACUUUGGAAGGUUGAGGUGGGAGAACUGCCUGAGUGUGGGAGAUCACCACCAGCCUGGUCACCAUAGCGACACUUUGUCUCUACUAAAAAUUAAAAAAAUAUUGAGCUACACAUUGCACUGUACACCUAUAGUCCCAGCUACUGGGGAGGCUAAGACUGGAGGAUCACUUGAGCCUAGAAUGUUGAGGCUGCAGUAAGCUAUGAUCACACCACUGCACUUUAGCUUUGGUAAGAGCAAGACUGUUUCUUAAAUAAAAUAAAAAUUAGAUGGGAAUAUUGCUCGAGCCCUGGAGGUUGAGGCUUCAGUUAACUGUGAUUGCACCACUGCAGUCCAGCCUAGGCGAUAGAGCAAGACCCUUUUUCUAAAAAUAAAAUAAAAAGUAACCUUCUGUUAUAUUUCCCAGUAACACUUUCCCUCCUAUGUUUCUGCUGGAAGCCCUUGCAUUUUGUUUGUUUUUCACAUACCAUUUAAAACUUUUAAGUACUGAUGUAUGUCUGUGUCAUCCCUCUUUUUUCUUUUCUUUUCUUUUUUUUUUUUUUUUUUUUUUUUUUUUUUAAAGAAUGUGUUUUUGUCACUCCAGCUGGAUCUACCAUGAAAGACUUCUGAAUCCAGGAAGAGAGACUGACUGGGCAACAUGUUAUUCAGGUACAAAAAGACUUGGACUAUAACUCAAAAAUGAUCAAAUAAUAGUGCGUGCAUCAAGUGCAAUGGGAAGCUCUUCUGGAGGGUGAGAGAAGCUUCCAGUUAAGGUGACAUUGAAGCCAGGUCCUGAAAGAUGAGGAAGAGUUGUAUGAGAGUGGGGAGGGAAGAGGGACGUGGAGGGAUGAGGAAUGGCUGGGAUGGGAUGGAGUGAGCAGCCCAGGCAGGGAAACCAGCACUGUACAGACCUGGACAAUGAAGAUGGCCAUUUUGUUCAGGGAAUGGUGAAUUA
rnacentral:lncRNA from 1 species